rnacentral:rRNA from 1 species
GUCCACGCCGUAAACGAUGUCAACUAGCCGUUGGGAGCCUUGAGCUCUUAGUGGCGCAGCUAACGCAUUAAGUUGACCGCCUGGGGAGUACGGCCGCAAGGUUAAAACUCAAAUGAAUUGACGGGGGCCCGCACAAGCGGUGGAGCAUGUGGUUUAAUUCGAAGCAACGCGAAGAACCUUACCAGGCCUUGACAUCCAAUUAACUUUCCAGAGAUGGAUUGGUGCCUUCGGGAACAUUGAGACAGGUGCUGCAUGGCUGUCGU